CUUAACUGUACAUAUCGGAGGCUGAUUUCCUCUGACUGCCUAGAAAGGGGGACUGCGAGGGCUAGAGAAAAAAAGACAACAGAGACUUGCAAAAUUUCAAAGGUCAGUGCCUCAGAGUGGACAAAGACAAGGACUCUGAGCUAGCCACUAUUAUUGGGUACACACCCUAAUCGGAGGAAUUAUCGGGUGACCUAGGGUGCGGUGGGGACCCUACAUUGAUGCAGAUCUCAGGUGAUGAAGGCAGGAGGUCCAUCUCCUCCAGGACAGGAGGUGCAUGAAUUAAGCUGAUAAGGAACUUGUCCCUCCCCAGCUGAAAACUUUCUCUUUUUUUAUUACUACUCAGUUCUCAAAGAACCAGGAUGUCUUCAGCUGAUGUACUCUUCCCCUUGAGUGUCACAGCAUCAGGGAACCACUGAGGCCUCAGCUGUGACCAGACGCAAAAUGGAGUUGUUUCCACACGCCAUAGUCGGCUCUCGGGCAAGGAAACACUGGGCCUUAGACAGAAACCGACAUCGCAAGAGGAUGGAUUGCCCAAAAUCACAUGGAUGCUGAGAUCCCGUAUUGGGGCCCGUUGCCUCUUGCUCCCUGAACUGUAGUUCCCCUGAAACUUAGCACCAGUUGGGCAACAGCGGGUACUGGCACCUGCCCUGCGGACUGGGCCCUGAACGACCACGAGCACGCGUCGGCGCAGACCUCGGACCCGGACCCGGACCGCGCGCGCCCCCUCGCGG
rnacentral:lncRNA from 1 species